GGCGAACGCUGGCGGCGUGCCUAAUACAUGCAAGUUGAGCGCUGAAGGUUGGUACUUGUACCAACUGGAUGAGCAGCGAACGGGUGAGUAACGCGUGGGGAAUCUGCCUUUGAGCGGGGGACAACAUUUGGAAACGAGUGCUAAUACCGCAUAAAAACUUUAAACACAAGUUUUAAGUUUGAAAGAUGCAAUUGCAUCACUCAAAGAUGAUCCCGCGUUGUAUUAGCUAGUUGGUGAGGUAAAGGCUCACCAAGGCGAUGAUACAUAGCCGACCUGAGAGGGUGAUCGGCCACAUUGGGACUGAGACACGGCCCAAACUCCUACGGGAGGCAGCAGUAGGGAAUCUUCGGCAAUGGACGAAAGUCUGACCGAGCAACGCCGCGGGAGUGAAGAAGGUUUUCGGAUCGUAAAACUCUGUUGGUAGAGAAGAACGUUGGUGAGAGUGGAAAGCUCAUCAAGUGACGGUAACUACCCAGAAAGGGACGGCUAACUACGUG
rnacentral:rRNA from 1 species